AGUUGGCGGGGUAACGGCCCACCAAACCGACGAUGGAUAGGGGUUCUGAGAGGAAGGUCCCCCACAUUGGUACUGAGACACGGACCAAACUCCUACGGGAGGCAGCAGUGAGGAAUAUUGGUCAAUGGCCGAGAGGCUGAACCAGCCAAGUCGCGUGAAGGAAGAAGGAUCUAUGGUUUGUAAACUUCUUUUAUAGGGGAAUAAAGUGGAGGACGUGUCCUUUUUUGUAUGUACCCUAUGAAUAAGCAUCGGCUAACUCCGUGCCAGCAGCCGCGGUAAUACGGAGGAUGCGAGCGUUAUCCGGAUUUAUUGGGUUUAAAGGGUGCGUAGGUGGUGAUUUAAGUCAGCGGUGAAAGUUUGUGGCUCAACCAUAAAAUUGCCGUUGAAACUGGGUUACUUGAGUGUGUUUGAGGUAGGCGGAAUGCGUGGUGUAGCGGUGAAAUGCAUAGAUAUCACGCAGAACUCCGAUUGCGAAGGCAGCUUACUAAA
rnacentral:rRNA from 1 species